GUGGAACUACAGCGAUUCAGCAGUGACCGGCGCAGAUCCAACCAGCUGAAGGAUCCGAAGAGAUUUCUGACGCGAUACAAAUGCUCCUUACGUGGAAUGUCUUCCUUCACGUCUUCUUAAGAUUUUAAAGAAGAGGCUGUGCUGGACAGUAGGAGAUGUUGAAGUUUUGACUGUGGGUUUGCGCUCCCUCUCACCCACGCUCUGUCUCCAGAAGCUGCAGGGGUUUCGCUGAGUUGGCAAAAAUGCGUCGCGACGCAGGAACAGAAAUAAACUGUCGGCCUUCAAGAACUCCAACACACACGCACAUCUUGUCCUCAUCGGACCUCCAAGUAAGCUGUGAGGAUAAAAUACUACAGUGUUGAAUAAGAAAAACAGUGAAAUGAUGGACUUUCCAAAACCUGACACGCUGUAGAUAUAUUUUAUGUAAAUGAUUGUUUGGGUUUUGGCUCCCAGCCCUUCAUAUAAGGGAUUUAUUGCAGUUUGUGUGUUCCAAGAAAAAUUAAGCUACAGUAUGUCAUGUAUAAGGGCUCCAUACAUCCUCACACAAACCCUGACCACAACUUUAUUUAAAAAUGACUGUACAAUGGCUUUCCAUGUGUAAGUGACGUCUGUGGAACAGCCUCUAAUAAACCAUAAAUCAAAAAUGAGAGAAGAGGGAACGAUGAAAACCAUUCUUGACCAAAAAAGCUAGGUAAAAGCUGUUCUUUCAACACACACAGAGACAUCAUCACAUCUGCAGGGCUUUGGUUUCUCUGACUGACAUCAGGUUUAUUUUUUUUAAUAUGCUCAUACACAUUCUUGCAUGUCCACUCCCACAGAUUUAUGUCCUUUUAAUGUAGUUGCCGCUAUGUGAGGGAGGCAGGGUGAAAGCUUUAUGUCUGUCUGCUGUGAUCCGUGGUGUAAACAGUCUCACUGUACCCUGGAAUCUCGCCACUCCUACAGGCUUUAGAAAAAGGGGCAUUCAGGGUGAAAGGAAGGGGCAGCAUUUUGAUGUGUUUUAAGGAGAACAGUUUGCUGUUUGUUUGAUUGAUUGAUGUUUUAAGGUGGGGCUGUUUAAUUGGUGCUUUCAGAUUGGUAGCUGGUUUUAUAGUGGGAUUGUGUAACUGGUGUGUGGUUUUGAAUGGUUGUAGAGUUGUUUUAUUUAAGAAAAGCUAUAAUACUUGAAUUCAUCCCAAUGGGAGUUUCUCAUCUUGUGCAUAACCCCUACUGACGUACACUACCACUCAAAAGAUUGGGGUCAGUGUUUUUUUUUUUGUUUUUUUUUUAAGAAAUAUACUUUUAUUCAGCAAGGAUGCAUUAAAUUCAUGUGACACAAAGACAUUUAUAAUGUUACAAAAGAUUUCUAUUCCAAAUAAAUGGUGUUCUUUUGAUCGUUCAA